GAUGCAUUAACUCAGUUUAUUAGAGUGUUGUGUUAAUAAUUUGAAAGUCACAAAUUCAAAUCUUAUAUGAAUCA
rfam:Glycine soja cultivar W05 scaffold62_10, whole genome shotgun sequence.